AUUGAACGCUGGCGGCAGGCCUAACGCAUGCAAGUCGAACGGUAACAGGAAGCAGCUUGCUGCUUUGCUGACGAGUGGCGGACGGGUGAGUCAUGUCUGGGAAACUGCCCGAUGGAGGGGGAUAACUACUGGAAACGGUAGCUAAUACCGCAUAACGUCGCAAGACCAAAGAGGGGGACCUUAGGGCCUCUUGCCAUCGGAUGUGCCCAGAUGGGAUUAGCUAGUAGGUGGGGUAACGGCUCACCUAGGCGACGAUCCCUAGCUGGUCUGAGAGGAGGACCGGCCACACUGGAACUGAGACACGGUCCAGACUCCUACGGGAGGCAGCAGUGGGGAAUAUUGCACAAUGGGCGCAAGCCUGAUGCAGCCAUGCCGCGUGUAUGAAGAAGGCCUUCGGGUUGUAAAGUACUUUCAGCGGGGAGGAAGGGAGUAAAGUUAAUACCUUGGCUCAUUGACGUUACCCGCAGAAGAAGCACCGGCUAACUCCGUG
rnacentral:rRNA from 1 species